GCCUAUAACAAAUAAGAUAAACAGGUGGUGUUCAAAGAAAGGGACAAAGCGCGGGUAUAAAGAAGAAGAAGAAGAAACUCCCCGAGAGAAGUGGAGAAGUAGAUCUAUUCUUUGAUCUGCGAUCUUGAUUGGGAAUAGUAAUGGCGAAGGUGGAGUUAAACGGAGACGUCACAAAGAAGACGGUGAAUAGAAAUCAUGGAUCCACCAAAUUCUUUGUUUUUAUAGAUUAUCUUUUCCUCUUCGUAUUCUUCUGUUUCCUCUGCUACAUUCUCUUCAAAAUCGUCGGAAUUUGAUCCAUACAGGUUAAUUAUAAGCUAUAUCCAGAUCAAGAGAGUCCAAGCUCUUAUGACACAACUGCUGGUUUAUUCCAGUUUAGAGAUUGUUUUCUUCUUGGACUGAGAUAUCUUUAGGGAAUGAAGUCUUCGCAAUACUGACGAUAUAUGUUAAAAUUCUUCUGUGCCACAUUACUUACCUAUUUAAUGUACUUAAUAUAUAUAUAUAUAACAUUUAGUUCAUUUGGUGUGACUGAUCACACAAUUUACACGUGGAUACAACACUGAAUUUCUUAUGCUCAAUUGACAAUUACUAGCAUCUCA